rnacentral:rRNA from 1 species
CCUACGGUGGGCAGCAGUGAGGAAUAUUGGUCAAUGGACGAGAGUCUGAACCAGCCAAGUAGCGUGAAGGAUGACUGCCCUAUGGGUUGUAAACUUCUUUUAUAUGGGAAUAAAACAGGGUAUGCAUACCCUCUUGUAUGUACCAUAUGAAUAAGGAUCGGCUAACUCCGUGCCGGCAGCCGCGGGAAUACGGAGGAUCCGAGCGUUAUCCGGAUUGAUUGGGUUUAAAGGGUGCGUAGGUGGAUUGUUAAGUCAGUUGUGAAAGUUUGCGGCUCAACCGUAAAAUUGCAGUUGAAACUAGCAGUCGUGAGUACAGUAGAGGUGGGCGGAAUUCGUGGUGUAGCGGUGAAAUGCUUAGAUAUCACGAAGAACUCCGAUUGCGAAGGCAGCUCACUGGACUGCAACUGACACUGAUGCUCGAAAGUGUGGGUAUCAAACAGGAUUAGAUACCCGAGUAGUC